AUAUCCCUAAUGCGCCUCGAAAUGAGGAACUCAAAAGUUGUGUGUAAACAAAAAAUCUCUGUGUACUGAUAUUGGACAUGUUUCUAUUUUUUACAAAUGACUGAGCUUAACCAUUUGAGGUGAUUAGGAAAGUAGAGGAACAUAGAAUAAAUGUGUAAAAUCUAUGGAGCUAUUAAAUGUGUUCAAAGUAUUAAAUUUUCAAAGAACUUAUUGUGUUAAAAAAUGGAUUUUUUACCACGAGGAGCCGCAUCACGAAAGGAUGUUCGGGGUAUGCUAAUUUACGGAAAAAGUAAUCUCACUUCGUACCCCGAAAAUUUAACUACAUAUGUGAAAAUGUCACAGCUUCGAAACGAGCUAUCAUACAUAUCCAAGUUUACGAUAUGGACUGAGCUACAGGAAAAAACGUUACCAUUACCGCCUAUGGAAAAACAAUUAAAGAUAUUGACCCAAAUUACAAGAAGAAUUUCAGCAGUUUUCAGACUGAUUUAUGGAUGAUUGCACCUUGAACACCAGAGAAAAUUGUGAAAAUAACGGUUAGUAGUCUUUUAUUUAUACCUAGUUAUCCCAGCUGGUUUUAGAUAAACAUUAUCAAUAAAGAUCAGCAAAAAUUUUCGCUUUUGAAAUGCAUUACUGGCACGGGGCUGAACACUUCUUUUAGGCACAAUCAUAACUUUGUUUACCCCGAGAGAUCCGAAAGGCACUUGUUAUUUACUUGAAAAAGGCAUGAACUGCUUAUGGAAACAUUUAAUAUUUUUAAAUUUUCCAGACAUAUCAUUACUAUUUAACCUGAGACCGCAAACUACAGGUUUUAAAAAGUUCUGACUAACUGAAAUGGACAAAAAUACACAGAUUUAUUCAGAAAGUAAUACCGAUGAAGAUCACGCAAAAAUAUUUGGAAAAAUCAGAACUUUGGAUUUCAAUAUGGGUCAAUAUCCCUAAUGCGCCUCGAAAUGAGGAACUCAAAAGUUGUGUGUAAACAAAAAAUCUCUGUGUACUGAUAUUGGACAUGUUUCUAUUUUUUACAAAUGACUGAGCUUAACCAUUUGAGGUGAUUAGGAAAGUAGAGGAACAUAGAAUAAAUGUGUAAAAUCUAUGGAGCUAUUAAAUGUGUUCAAAGUAUUAAAUUUUCAAAGAAC